AGAGUUUGAUCAUGGCUCAGAUUGAACGUUGGCGGCACGCUUAAUACAUGCAAGUCGAACGAGAAAGCACCUUCGGGUGCGAGUAAAGUGGCGGACGGGUGAGUAACGCGUAGGAAUCUACCCAGUAGUAGGGGACAACUCGGGGAAACUCGAGCUAAUACCGUAUGUCAUCCUUCUUCUUACGAAGAGGGAUCAAAGAGGGCCUAUCCUUGGAAGCUCUCGCUAUUGGAGGAGCCUGCGUUGGAUUAGCUUGUUGGUGAGGUAAAAGCUCACCAAGGCGACGAUCCAUAGCUGGUCUGAGAGGACGACCAGCCACACUGGAACUGAGACACGGUCCAGACUCCUACGGGAGGCAGCAGUAGGGAAUCUUGGUCAAUGGGCGCAAGCCUGAACCAGCGAUGCCGCGUGUGUGAAGAAGGCCUUCGGGUUGUAAGCACUUUCAGUGGUGAAGAAAAGCUAGAGAUUAAUACUCUCGAGUCUUGACGUUAACCACACAAGAAGCACCGGCUAACUCCGUGCCAGCAGCCGCGGUAAUAUGGAGGGUGCGAACGUUAAUCGGAAUUACUGGGCGUAAAGCGCGCGUAGGCGGUUCGGUAAGUGGGAUGUGAAAGCCCCGGGCUCAACCUGGGAACUGCAUUCCAAACUGCAGGACUAGAGUAUGGUAGAGGGAGGUAGAAUUUCCCGUGUAGCGGUGAAAUGCGUAGAUAUAGGAAGGAAUACCGAUGGCGAAGGCAGCCUCCUGGACCAAUACUGACGCUGAGGUGCGAAAGCGUGGGGAGCAAACAGGA
rnacentral:rRNA from 1 species